GUCAAGCUGUGAAGUCAAGCAACUUCCUGCAUUAUGACCUCUCAGUCACAAAGGGAAUACAUUUCUUCUUGCAGCAUUAGUAAGCUGUUUUCUCAUCCACAGGUCUUCUGAUAACAGACAUUUGUUUGUGAACCUACUACAAACAGUCUCAGCAGCAAGCACCGCUCUGACUUUGAAGUCUGGAACUUGGAAAAUGUGCAGUCAUUUGAUACUACCACCUUCUUUUCUGAAUCUGCCAAGCAGUUUCUUCCUAAAGAGUUCCUAUCUGAGAAUUUCUUAUGUUCAUCUCAUAUUAAAGAAGAGUUAAAAUAGAACCUCUGGCCUAUUCUAUAAGAAAAAAGUGUGCAUUAUCACCACUUUUAUGAUACUUCCCAAACUUCUGUGGGACUCCAACGUG
rnacentral:lncRNA from 1 species